AUUGAACGCUGGCGGCAGGCCUAACACAUGCAAGUCGAACGAGUGGCGGACGGGUGAGUAAUGUCUGGGAAACUGCCCGAUGGAGGGGGAUAACUACUGGAAACGGUAGCUAAUACCGCAUACCAUCGGAUGUGCCCAGCUGGGAUUGGCUAGUAGGUGGGGUAACGGCUCACCUACGCGACGAUCCCUAGCUGGUCUGUGAGGAUGACGAGCCACACGGGAACUGAGACACGGUCCAGACUCCUACGGGAGGCAGCAGUGGGGAAUAGUGCACAAUGGGCGAAAGCCGGAUGCAGCCAGGCCGCGUGUAUGAAGAAGGCCUUCGGGUUGUAAAGUACUUUCAGCGAGGAGGCGUUACUCGCAGAAGAAGCACCGGCUAACUACGUGCCAGCCGCCGCGGUAAUAC
rnacentral:rRNA from 1 species